GAAAGUAAAAGUCGUAAACAAGGUCUCCGUUGGUGAACCAGCGGAGGGAUCAUUACCGAGUUAUCAACUCCCAAACCCCUGUGAACAUACCCAACGUUGCUUCGGCGGGACCGCCCCGGCGCCCUCGGCGUCCCGGAACCAGGCGCCCGCCGGAGGACCCAAACUCUUGUUUAAACCAUAGUGGCAUAUUCUGAGUCUCACAAGAAAAAUGAAUCAAAACUUUCAACAACGGAUCUCUUGGCUCUG
rnacentral:misc_RNA from 1 species